rnacentral:rRNA from 1 species
AUGCGCGCCAUCCGGGUCUACUUACUAUGCCCAGCAAUCGACAUUAUUUUCAUGGCAUAUCGGAUCAUCACGGCCUUAAAUGCAAUGUAUACGUGCAUCUGCCGUGUCCACAUUCAUGUAUACCGAUUCCGUGACUCCUCCAGCCAGUCACACGAACAUGGAAUCAUGGAGAGAAGUCCAUCUAGAGCUUUCCCCGGAACAGGAGCUUAUCGGGGCCGUCCUACCGGAGCCAUUGCUACACCCGAAACGAGAAACAAAUUAUUCUCGAUCGGUUGGCUGCUGGCUACUACUACUCGGCUGAUUCCGUCGAGCACAUACGCUUCUCCAUCUCUCGCCUCUCUCUCUCUCUCUCUCUGCACGCGCGGACGCCAUGGACAAAGCUCCGGCGGCGGCAGCAGCCAACAACCUUGCCAAUCCUCCGGCGGUUGCGGUGGUGGUGAAUGUGGUCGUCAAUCCACCAGCGAAUGUGGUCGUCAAUCCACCAGCAGAGGCGGCGCCGCCAGCGUGUGGAGCUGCGGACGUUCUGCUGCUGAUAUGUUUGCUCGGCAUUUUGGCGGUGAGCGUGUAUUGGAUCGUGCUGGCGUGCCUCGCAAAUUGGUAUCGACAGACGGGCUGUGGCCGGGGUACACGGUGGUGAUUCCCAAUUCUCGUGCGGUCGAUUUCAUUUCAUCGGAAACACAUGAAGGCCUUACUCUCGUGGGAGCGGCGGCCUUAUGCUGGGCACUGUGGCUUACCAGGAAUGAUGUGAUCUUCAAUAACAAAUGUGUCUCAUCUCCUAUGCAAGUUAUUCAUGUUUGUACACGAUGGCUCCGUACUUGGUCUAUCCUGCAGAGGCCGGAGGACAUGGACAUUUUUAUAAUGGCGUCUACACGGCUGGAGCGUUCGGCCAGGGAGGUUUUCUACCCCCAUGGAUGGCGGCCUUACUCUCACUCAAGCAACGCAGCGCUGUGGAAGAGUAUCGGCAGCAGAUUUCAGUCCACAACCCAUAGUACGACGAGCAAUUCUUUGUAUCCCAAUUUAUCCGUGGCUUGUCUAUUGCCACAAGUUCAGCAGGAGGUAACUGAAGAUCUCAAACAGUGGGCUGGGCACCUCGUCCCUUCCUGCAGCAUGGCCGGCCGUACUGAACAUCUGGGACACAAACCAGAAGUACCCAAACACUUUGGUAGCUCGGGGAUUUUGGGCGUACCGAUACACUUUGUUUUCGCUCCGGGGAACAGUACGACCCAACUCAUCAAGGCUACUGCUGAAUUACAUGUAGUCCAAGGAGCAGUGAUGGAAAUAUUAAACAGGAUGGGCUUUGAGCCGCCGUUGGAGCUCCGUGGGGCAAGGCCCAGGCGGGGGACGGCGGCGGCAACACGUGACGACUUUGAUUUGCUGGUGCUUCUCGAGUACCCAGUCUGGAGCUCCGGCGUGAAAAUCUUAGGUGAAACCAAGGAUCUAACCAUUGGUGGUUGGAUCCGGUCUUGGGCUCAUGAUAAAAGAGGUAUUUUCAGUGCCCGCUCAGCCUACCGAAUGAUGGUUCAGACCAAGUACAAUCAAGAAGAGGGUCGCUAUUUCAUAAAUCUGGGUCAUCGACAACUGCUGCUGAAGGAGGGGAUUUGUAUGGCUCCCUCCCUAUGCUGCUCUUCGUUGCGAAGAGAAGACUUCUGGCGUCAUGCUCUUCUAGACUGUUCCAUGUCUAGAAGUGUAUGGGCAUUGAAAGAAGUUCAACCAAGGAAGAAAGAGUCUGGAAGGUUAACAUGGACACUACCACCGAUUGGUUUUGCCAAGUGUAAUGUCGACGGAGCUGUUGCGCGACAUGGGGGUGGACGAGCAGUUGCAGGAAUUUGUAGAGAUCACAAUGACUUAUACCUCAGGUUAUCAUCAAUCACCUUCAUUGAUAAUACUGAUUUCCCAAACUUGGAAGCUUUGGCUUGGAGAGAAGCUCAAGCCUUGGCAGAUGAUCUAAAUAGGUCCUCAUCUCAUCAGAUAGUGCAACUGCCGUCAAGGAUAUUGCGGAUAAAACUGGAGAACAACAUGCAGCGGUAA